rnacentral:rRNA from 1 species
CUUGGUCAUUUAGAGGAAGUAAAAGCGUAACAAGGUAACCGUAGGUGAACCUGCGGUUGGAUCAUUAA